GUAUAAUUAGUUUUACUUUAAAACAUUUAGUUGCAAGCUAAAAAAUACAUCAUUUGUAUUAUAUU
rnacentral:tRNA from 1 species